rnacentral:rRNA from 1 species
UACGUAGGGUGCAAGCGUUGUCCGGAAUUAUUGGGCGUAAAGAGCUCGUAGGCGGUUUGUCGCGUCUGCUGUGAAAACUCGGGGCUUAACCCCGGGCCUGCAGUGGAUACGGGCAGACUAGAGGUAGGUAGGGGAGAAUGGAAUUCCCGGUGUAGCGGUGAAAUGCGCAGAUAUCGGGAGGAACACCGGUGGCGAAGGCGGUUCUCUGGGCCUUACCUGACACUGAGGAGCGAAAGCGUGGGGAGCAAACAGG